UGCCGGGAGGAGUCCGGUCUUAUCUCGCGGGGAGAAAGUUGGAGACGAGGGAGUUGGGGCCGGUGUUGCCCUCUCGCCGGCGGAUUUCGUGCUCUAUCCAGCAGUGGGUUUGAUUUGGUGAAGGCUUUCAGAGGGAGGUGCUGGGAGGAGUCCUGUCGUCUCUCGUGCGAAUCAUGGUUCGGCGUGGAGGCAGAGGAGCUGGUUUCCUCCAUGGCGAAGCUCCCAUCGAGCGACAGUCUUUUCGAGGAUACGGUAGGAGUCCUCGUCGACGUCGGGAUGGGUAUUUUUCUUCGUUGUUGAUUCAGGCCUGCGUUGAUUCUUUUUUUCUAUUUCCCUCCUUCUGUGCUCAUUCGCAGCACACACAAGUAUGUUUUGUGCGCAGAUCUGUGGUAUUCUAGUAGUUCUUAGCUCAUGGGGAGAGUAACACGAAUACAUGGAGGUGGUGUAUUGAUUUUGAAGCAAUUCUCUUCUGUGUGUACCCUAGAUCCGUCUAAGAAAGAAAAGAUUGGUGGAGUUAUGCCAUUUUUGGUGACUACCACGGAAAUUAGGACAACAACCACAAAAAUUUGGUGAUGUCUCUUCCCUUUUUCAAAUGUCAUGCUUAGAUUAGCAUUAGAAACGAGUCAAUAUUGUCUAUGUGGAUGUUACGCUUUGAUUCUGUUGAUGCUUGUCUGUCGAAGCCUCCUAUUUAGCUCUCCCACAGAAAAUGGGUUAGUAUUAGCUUAAUGUUACAAGCCUACGCAAAAUAAAUUUUUAGUAAAGCUUCAUGUUCAACAUUGUACUUCACUUUCAUACCCAGUUCUGGAAAAAUUAUUACCUGAAAUCGUAGUACUACACAAUCUGCAAAGCUAGGUCAUGUACUUAAGUGUUUUUCUUAAUUCAAAAAUUGGCUUUUUAGUGUGUGUAGAGUUUGUAAGGGUUGUUUGGUCCACCCAUUUUCCAUUCUAUCAUUGAAUUUGAAUAGCAUGAAACCUCUAGAAUAGUGUUGAAAUCACAUGCCACUAAGCGGGCCCUAAACCAAGUGGUUUGUCUUAGUGUGAUAGCCAUUCUUAGCGUGUUUAGAGUUUCAUUCUUUCAAUUAAUUUGUUUUCAUUCAUAUUUGUGUAUAGUUUUGAAUCGAUGCAGUGUUCCUUUUAUGGUGCUUCUGUUAGUGGGUACGUCUGUACUGUUCUCCUGCAGUUUGUGUGCAUACCUGUGUGAAUAACUCACCAUGGACAUCAAUCGUUGUUUGAAAGCCUUGCUAGUAUACCCCUGAAUAAUGCAGUUCAAUUUUGUUUUGUAAAUGAGCAAUUGAGUUACAUAUCACUGUAAUGAAUAAUGUAAUGAAUUAGAUGAACAGAGUACCUCAGUCUAAUUUAUUUUAUUUCAGUCCCUCAUUGUUCCACUCUUUUUUAGUUUCUUUAUUUUCUCUUCAUUAUUUCACUAUUUCUUCAUUUUCUCUAUCUUCAGUUUCUUAAUUAGAUGCUUGUCCCAGUAUCCUCUUAUUACCUCUGCUUCUUUCUCUUCAUUGUUUCUUCAUUCUUCUGUCUCUUUGUCAGGCUUGUCAGUUCUCAGUUUUUCUGUGUCUUUCUCCAUAUCUCAUUUUUUGUCCCUUAUUUUCCAUCUCUCAUUUUCCAUUUUCCAUUUUAUAUCAGACAACUAUGUCUCUCAUUUUACGUCUCUCUUUCUCUAUCUCUCAUUGUCUGCCUUGUCAGUAUUCAGUCAUUUGCCGUGUCGAUAUUCAGUUAUCCCUGUCUCAUUUUGUCUCUCAUUCUUUGUCCCUCAUUCUUUGUCCCUCAUUUUCCGUUUUUCAUUAACCGUCUCUCAUUUUGAUAUCAGCCUAUCUCCGGUUCUCAGUCACUCUUUCUUUCUUUGUCUCUCAGUUUCUCUUUGUCUCUUAGUUAUUCUCACUCCUCAAUCUUCUCAUUUGCUCAGUCCUCAGUCCUAUAUAUCAUUUGCUCAGUUUUUCUUAUUUGCUAUAUCCUCAGUCCUAUCAUUUGCUUUGUCCUCAGCCUCAUUAUUAUUUUAUCACUCUUCUUGUUUCUCUCGGUCCUGAGUCUUUCUUUAGUUUUCUUAUUUUUAUGGCAUCCUCUUUGCUCUGUCCUUCAUUUUUCAGUUCAUAUCUAUCUCUUUGUCUCUUAGUUAUUCUCAGUCCUCAAUAUUGUCAUUUGCCCAGUCCUGUCAUUUGCUCAGUUUCUUUGAUCAGCUUUUGUUUUAUUUGCUCUAUCCUCAGUCAUAUCAUUUGCUUUGUCCUCGAUCUUAUCAUUAUUCUAUCACUCUUUCUUGAAUAUUUCAUCUCUAUCAUUACUCGUGUCCCUAUCACUUGGUCUUGGUUCUCCUUUCUCUCUUUCUUCGGUAAUUGUUCUUGUUAUUGGUUUGUCAGUAUCCAUUGCUUCCACUUCCCGUUGAUUUAGAUGAAAUUGAAUUCAGAUGCUUUUUUCUAGCUUAAUUUGCAUGCAUGUCUGAAUGUGCUAUUGUCUUACAGUAUACAGUUUCUGAGAUAGAAAAUUGCGGUGUGAGGAUGAACAUAGUUGUUCUUAUUGACAUGAUGAUUUCUUGCCUCGGACUGUUACUCUUUUAGAAGAUAUUUUCAAGUCUUAUUGACAUGAUGAUUUCUUGCCUUGGACUGUUACUCUUUUAGAAGAUAUUUUCAAGUCCAUUCUCUUGUAUGGACACGCCGCAAGUGCUCUUUUAUUUUCAUGGAUUAUACUCUCAAUCCUGCUUUGUAGUUUAUUUAUAUUUUCCCACUAUUAUAUGAUACUAGUAGCACACUGCAAAACGCUCUCACAGCAUGCAGUUCUAGUGGCCUAGUGUUAUUCUCUUGAUCGUUAUCUUAUCCUGUAGUCUUUUAGCUUGUCGCUUUUUAUAUCUUUUACUUUCAGUCCAUCAUUAAUAAGCCAAUGACGUAGCACGGCUACAUCAAGUAAAAACUAGAUGUAUGAUUUACUCAUUUUUCAUUUGAUUAUUGGGUUAUUCAUGUCUUUUUCUUAUAAUAGGCCUUCAAAGUAAGGCUGUAACUGUAUCAUGUGAAUUGGUUGCUAUGAUAUAUAUAGGGGUAUUUGCCUUAUUUCUAUGAUGAGUCCAUCAGAAAUAAGGUAAAAAUAGAACUCUGAGUUAGAGAUACGGUAUUGCUAAGCGGGGAGUAUAUUUUACUUGGGAGGCAUCUUUUUUGACAUUUGAUUUACUCAUUUUUCAAAGGGGUACUGCGCUGAUCUUGGGGCAUUAGAAUGUGAAAAGGAAAGAGGGAAAUAUGUCAAUGAAUGCCACCCCCUGCUCAAGUAAAUUUUGGGAUAGGUACAUGAUUGAUCAAGAAAGAAGGAAGUUCUGAAAAGUAGUAGGGGAGGGGGAGAAGCGGUGACAAUGUGACAUGCCUGAGAUUAUAUGAGGUCAAAAGGCGGCUUUGCGUGAGGACUAAGAAGAAGAGAGACAUGGUGACGUGGAGGCAGCUGGUAGACCAGGCCAACGAAAAUAGAAGGCCCACUUCACUGUUUUAUGUGAAAGCCUCAAAAAAGGCUGAUGUAGAAAUAAUGCAACGGACUACUUUUUUUGGGUCCUUAUAUGUACGAAAGCUCAGUUCAAUUGAUCGUUUGCUGGGGGAAUGAAAAAAAACCAGGAAAAACCGGACUGACCAGAAUAAAUUUGCUUCACUUU